rnacentral:rRNA from 1 species
AGCGAACGCUGGCGGCAGGCCUAACACAUGCAAGUCGAACGAAGUCUUCGGACUUAGUGGCGGACGGGUGAGUAACACGUGGGAACGUGCCCUUAGGUACGGAAUAACUCAGGGAAACUUGAGCUAAUACCGUAUGUGCCCUUCGGGGGAAAGAUUUAUCGCCUUUGGAGCGGCCCGCGUCUGAUUAGCUAGUUGGUAAGGUAAAAGCUUACCAAGGCAACGAUCAGUAGCUGGUCUGAGAGGAUGACCAGCCACAUUGGGACUGAGACACGGCCCAAACUCCUACGGGAGGCAGCAGUGGGGAAUCUUGCGCAAUGGGCGAAAGCCUGACGCAGCCAUGCCGCGUGGAUGAUGAAGGUCUUAGGAUUGUAAAAUCCUCUCACCGGUGAAGAUAAUGACUGUAGCCGGAGAAGAAGCCCCGGCUAACUUCGUGCCAGCCGCCGCAGUAA